rnacentral:pre_miRNA from 1 species
UGCUGCAACUGGUGGUGUGAAUCAGGCCGAUGCCACCUGUCAUCUAGAGUCCAGCUACUUCACGAUAUCAGGGUGGCA